AGCUACUAAUAUUACGGUGAUGAAGGUUGUGGUCUGCGUCAGCGGCGGCUCUCUUAGAGCUUCUGCGUCGGCUCCUUCUCCCUCGUCGCCGCUGGCUUUGGCGACCAGUGCUGCUGCUGCUAGUGUUCUAUUUUGGAAGAGUGUCUUGAUAAGGAUCGUCCUUCUUCUUGGGCCGAUUCUUCUUUGCUGAAGGCGAAAGAAGAGCACGAAGUCGAGGAGUCAACAGGCAUCUCUGGAUGAUUGUUCUCUCUGUCUGCACUGUAUUUUAGCUGCUUCUUGGUGUUAUGGUGAAGAUUGAAGACUGCGUAAUGGCAGUUGAGUAAAUAUGUCUGGGACUGAAUCUCGAGGCCCAGGGCCAGAUCUUGGUGGACAUGGGUGAUGCACAUAGAGCCUCAAAUUGUAGGCUCAAAUCAAAGUGGGUUGCAAUUUGCUGGUAAUAUGCCCUGCCAUGGUCCAUAAGAACAUUUCAAGAAAAUGAAUACUGGAAGGCAGCCAUACAUAAUACCGAAUGUCAUGGAUGUACAUAUGUUUGGCUUUGAUGGUGGUCAUGGAGGGACAUAGAUGAAGGCCCCUUUUGCUUUUUUAUUAUAUGGUGGUAUUGAAUACAAUUAAAACUCUUAAUAUAUAUGUUUGGAAUUAUAUUAAGCUAGUAACUUUUAUCAAAUGUAUUGGUUUAUUUUAUAUGAAUAAAAGAAUUGUGGUUUAUUUUA